GCGAAAACUUUACAAUGCUGGCAACAGCGAUAAGGGAACCUCGAGUGCCAGGUUACAAAUCUGGCUGUCGAGAUGCCUAAAAAGCAUUGCAUAGCAAGGGCCGGGCAAGACCGGUGCCAGCCGCCGCGGUAACACCGGCGGCUCGAGUGGUAACCGUUAUUAUCGGGUCUAAAGGGUCUGUAGCCGGCCGGAUAAGUCUCUUGAGAAAUCUGGCAGCUUAACUGUCUGGCUUUCAGUAGAUACUGUCUGGCUCGAGGCCGUGAGAGGUGAGAGGUACUUCAGGGGGAGGGGUGAAAUCUUGUACUACCUGAAGGACCACCAGUGGCGAAGGCGUCUCACCAGAACGGACCUGACGGUAAGGGACGAAAGCUAGGGGCACGAACC
rnacentral:rRNA from 1 species